rnacentral:rRNA from 1 species
UACGGAGGGUGCAAGCGUUAUCCGGAAUCACUGGGUUUAAAGGGUGCGUAGGCGGCUUAGUAAGUCAGUGGUGAAAGACUGUGGCUUAACCAUGGAAUUGCCAUUGAUACUGCUGAGCUUGAAUCAGGUUGAGGUUGGCGGAACGUGACAUGUAGCGGUGAAAUGCUUAGAUAUGUCAUGGAACACCGAUUGCGAAGGCAGCUGACUGGACCUGUAUUGACGCUGAGUCACGAAAGCGUGGGGAGCGAACAGG